rnacentral:rRNA from 1 species
CAGCAGCCGCGGUAAUACGAAGGGGGCGAGCGUUGCUCGGAAUGACUGGGCGUAAAGGGCGCGUAGGUGGCGUGCACAGUCAGAUGUGAAAUUCCUGGGCUCAACCUGGGGGCUGCAUUUGAUACGUGCGUGCUAGAGUGUGGAAGAGGGUCGUGGAAUUCCCAGUGUAGAGGUGAAAUUCGUAGAUAUUGGGAAGAACACCGGUGGCGAAGGCGGCGACCUGGUCCAUUACUGACGCUGAGGCGCGAAAGCGUGGGGAGCAAACAGGAUUAGAUACCCCCGUAGUCCCUGUCUCUUAUAC